CGAAAAUGGAUCGUGCAAGGUGCCGCCACGCAGAUUCGCUGCAGCGGUUAAACGGGAAACAGGUGCCUGUUUGCGCUGUACCACGCGCAACAACAUGCCUGUGCUGCCCCCGCAACGGUAAGCGAGUGUGGGACUGUCAAUAGGCCACUGGGCAAAAAGCCUGGGAAGGCGACAGAUCAAGACUCGCGAGCCCGGAUACCGGCCUUCGCAUACCACACUGG
rnacentral:ncRNA from 2 species